rnacentral:lncRNA from 1 species
AGCAAAUGCUCCGUCAAACAAACUCUCAUUGCGAUCUCUGUCUCUCUCUCUGUCAUCCAGUGGGGAUUACCAAUAAAUGGUGCGUUCUUAUGUACUAGGAAUGUACUUAAAGAGAAAUGUUCCUCAAAGAGGAAUGUACGCCCCACACUGCUUAUAUUUAUUGCUCUCUCCACAGCUGCUAGCCUUUCUUUUCUGCCUUUUGACUUUUUGCAUAAAUAUACAAAACUAAGUGCCCAGCUUUUAUACCCGGUACUCAACGAGUAAAUAGGGUAUAUUUUAUUUGUGCGAAUAACUCAAUAGCCGAGUCGAUAGAGCCAUGUCUGUCUGUCCGUCUUGUUUGUCGGCUCGUUCUCAGAGACUAUAAGAGCUAGAGCCACCAAAUUUUGCAUCCAGACUGCUAUAUGCUCACACUGAAACCAGUGUAUUUCAAAAAUGAGCCACGCCCCCUUACACCCCCGCAAAAGGGCGAAAACCUACCAAACCUACAAUUUUGAAGAUACAAGAAAACUAAACUAAACUAACUAACUAAAAACUAACGCCAUUCCGUAGUGAAUGGUCAUAUCUAUCAGAUCACCAAAUUGGGAUCCGAUCGGAUCAUUUUUAUAGCCACAAUGGAGAAAUUUCCAGUGGCUAAACCCACCCUGUCUCCAGCAGUUUUUUUUGCUCUUUUUACAUUCACUCAUUCACACUCUGUCGUCUUCCUCCCCCUGGCGUUGACUCUUCCGACUUUUAACCAAGACUCGGUUUUGAACGCUAGAUGGCGCCACUUUCGAAAAAUUUGCUGUGAAACCUAUCGGUCAUUAUUGCACAGAAUGUGCAUACCAUUGGACCAUCUAAGUUGCGUACAAGAAAUUUUCAUAGAUGGCGCCACUUUCGAAAAAUUUGCUGUGAAACCUAUCGGUCCAAGAAUGUACCAAUUUUAUUGCUGUUUUAAAUAUCUCAUAAAUUGGAAAAUAUUAACUGAUCCAAUUUGUUUGAUGCAUUUUAUUUAGUAGGUAAACGUAGUAAAAACUACGUGUUCUGUAAUGUGAACGAUAUCUAGUGGUUGGCGAUGUCUUCUACAUCUAGAUGUAGUCCUGAGUGCCGGGUACAAAAGUUGUGACGCGUAAGAAGCGUCUCACACGUGUGGUGUGCUUCUUAGGUACAUCUAAUCGAUCAAUGUUAUUUAGUUAAUCCCUGCACUUCGGCUAUUCUCUUUGCACCUAAUGACCUUUUUGAUUGGAACAUACCGUCUAUACCGUGGAUGUAGCAACUCACUCUCUCUCUCUUUACACCAAAAGUUUAAGAGAGUACCUUGGAGAUUGUGCAAGUAAAAUAGUUUUGUUCAUUCUGGCUAAAUAAGUUAUCCGAUCUGAUCCAGAUACGGCCAUCUAUAGAUACAGACAUUCUCUAUGAUUCUGCGCUUUAGGGUUGGGUUUCUCAUAGCAGAUUCUACAGAUUUUCGCUCUUUGGGUACAAUAUUUGGUUGAUCUUCUUUAAUUGUCUGAGAGCUAGCUAUUUAUGCGGAUUAUGUACAGUAAGACCACAUAUUAUUCGUACACCGUCAUCACCCAAGUUUGAACUCCUAUAACUUGGCCUUCGGUCAACGUAAACAGAAAAAGUUAAUUUUGUAUCGACGAUCAACGUAUCUACUAUAUUUGUAUGAAAAAAGUUUUUAAUUUUCUUCUAUGGUAUCCUUAUAAAAAUGAACUUAAGCAAAAAAUACCUUUUUUUUUUGCACAUAAAUUAUUCGUACAGCCGUCCGACUAAAGGGGUUCCAACUUGGGUGAUGACGGUGUACGAAUAAAAUGUGGUCUUACUGUACAUACACAUGUAUGUAUGUAUAUACAUAGAUAUUAGGGGAAGUGCAAGAGUGCGAUCGAGAAAUAAAGAGCAACAAAAAACAAGCUGCCGCCAGGGCCAGCCACUGAAAAAUAAUUUUGUCAUUCUGGAUAUAGAAAGGAUCAAAUAGAAAGGCCAUUUUCUACGGAUCUGCGUUUUUCCUUCUCUCUUUCCGCCAUUUGUUGUGGCAGAAGUGGGUGGGGCUAGUAAAUACACUUGUAACAGUGUGACAUUACAGAAGUCUGAAUGCAAAACUUGGAUGACCUAUCUCUUAUGGUCUCUGAGUACUAGGCGCUCAUAAGGACGGACAGACGCACGAACGGACAGACAGACAUGGCUCCAUCGACUCGGCUAUUGAUGCUGAUCAAGAAUAUGUAUACUUUAUGAGUGUCGGAAACGUUUCCUUCUGUGCGUUACAAACAUCCGUUAUACCCUAUUUACUCUUCGAGUACUGGGUAUAAAAAUGUACACACGGACAAAUAUUAUUUUUUGUAAAAAGUUGACAGCUGAUCAAAAACAUAUACGAUCGCGACCAAAAGUUACUGGAUGGUGAUGUAAAAAUGAAAAAUAGAUUACAACCUAUUCGCAAACCUAUGUAUGUACAUAUGUACUUAAUAUUUAACAAAAAUUGCAUAAGAAUUGGUCGAGCCGUUUAGCUGGAGUUGAGUCACUGUCACGUUACACGAGGAUUGUAUAAAUGUAUAAAUAAUUGUAUGUAAAUUUCUAAAAAUAAAUACAUUUGAUCGUAAACGCUUUAUUAACUAUUGUAACGUCGUAGUACAUACUUCAUGUCAUGUUUUGUUUCAAACAUGUUCUUGUUCUUAACUUAACAUAAUACUGGUCUAAAAUAAUAAAGUUAAGCUAAACCUUUUUAAAAUGUGUAUAUUUUAAUGCAUGGAUGCUUCGCUGUAGACUUUGCCGGUUACAGAUAGGAACUAGUAUUAUUUAUAAUCAACAUUUUUACAUUUCUACCUCCAAACUUGAGCAAGCCUGCUUGCGCCUGCUUACGCCUGCAUAAGGGUUAUGGGGUAUAUUAGAAUUGUAAUCGAAGUGAUAUGAUUCUUGAUUAACAUCAAUAGCCCAGUCUAUAUUUUGCAUAUAGACCUCUAAUAUGUAAGUGAAGGAAAUCUUUUAGUCGAAUUCAAGUGACAGCGACAAUUUUGGUAAGGGAACAAAUCCAUUCGAAUGGUACUCGGUAGGUAUAGCAAGCACCAAGUUGUAUUUGGUUCUUCUUUCGUACGUCUUCGUAUGUUCCGUCAAUUCAAGCCAGUGCAAGCAUCUCGCGCUUAAAAUAUAAGGCUGAAAAAUAUUUAGCCUUAUUAUGUUAUUCGAUUAGUAUUUUCUAUCAGCUCAUUGCUUUCAACUUUUCAGACGGUUUUACCAACUGUAGUAAGAAUUAAUU